rnacentral:lncRNA from 1 species
AUUAAAUACACAUAGAAGAGAAUUAGUGCAUGAGGAACGCUUGAUUUGGGGAUGUGAAUAGCCAACCAAGAAAAAAGAAUGAGCAUCAAAACCGAUGAUACAUACAUGAGAACCUGCCAUGGCGACGCGUCGGAGUUUUGAAAAAGGGAUACAAUGCCGUAAAGACCAGAAACUUUGUUGAUGAUAGCAAACCAUAUGAUAAUCUCGCAACCAACACGAAGACUACAAAACCCGAGGAAAGACUAAUGAAUUAGUACAAAUCAAAAUAGAAAAGAGCAAAUGACAAAUACAUGAUUAAAACAUCGAAAAAAGCUGGAAAAAAUAGACAUACCUUUUGAAUAAAGAUUUUUUCAAAUAAAGCGGACCAAUUUGGACGCCGAAACAAUGCCAUAAUGAGAAAGCUUACAAUAAACCGAAUAAUUCAACAGUUAAUGACAAUAAGGAAAAGAGAGAAGAGAGCUUUAAAAAAAAUAACGGAAUGAGAAACAGAAAGAUUUUAGGUGUUCUACACACAGGAAAGGGAUUUACCGGAUACAAUUAGAAGAAAUAUUUUACGCAAGUAUUAACGGAAACUGCAACCAACAUACGCCAGGCACAGAGAAAUAUUAAAGGUUUAUGAAUACCAGUUAAGACUUCUUUCGUAAAGAGAAAGUUAUUAAAAGGAAAAGACCUACGCACUUAACCCAAAUACACGAGAUUAUCGCCCUUUUUCUCUUUCUUGUUAGCGUAGGCUUUUAAAGUGUAAUAAGUGAAGCGGGAAAAAGAGAAAGAGAAAAGGAAUAGGAUUACAAUGUAAAAAAUCGAAAAUUCAACACUUUCUAAAACUUUUCUCCAGCCUCAGUGUUAAGAUUGUUUCGUUUCUAGAAUGGGCUAAUCGCUUGUUGAUGGACCGGGCAAUUAGAGAAACAGCGAGGGCAUUGCUUUUUAUGUGGUAGUAGAAUGGUAAUCAUCGUAAAUUGCUUAUACAACAUCCGGUUUGCUGCGCUAAACUAAAUAACGAAAAGGAAUAUAACAACAGUAAAUGAUCUGGUGACUUCGGGGGUUGGGUUGGAGUAGGCUAAAAACGUAAUAGAUCGGUGUUAUUAAAGGAUUCAAGAAAGCAUUGAAUGUGUAGCAGCAUAUUCUUUUAAUUAUUUGUAAGAUAUUUUUUUUGAUUUCAUGAAAGAAUACUGGAGAUUUGAUUCACGACUGUGGAUGAUGUUUACAUAUACUAUUAAACAUUGAUUAAUUUUGUAGACUAAAAACAGUAAACAACGUUAUCAGCUUCAAAAAGUUUUUAAAUUUGAAUUAAUAAUUUUUUUAUCUUAAUAAAUAAAGCUAUACUACCAAAAUUCUUCAAUAAUAAAAAAACCCUCAAUCACCUACUACCGUCCUUUAAUUACACUCUUCAUCGGCUUCACUUCCUCGCCGAAUCUUUGUUUACUUGUACCAUCGGUGUUUAUUGAUUUUAUUCGGCAAAAUAAUUCAUCAAAGAAGAAGGGCAACACUUGUAUGAUUUCUUGGUAUGACUGUACAUUGGAGGAAAUAAUGACUGACCUGUUUUUCUUCUUUUUUUUUUUUUUUUUUUUUUUAAAAAUUACCGGUCUUACGAUACAUUCACAUCUACCGCUUGACAACAGCUGCAAAUUUCAUUACACUUGGAUAUGUAAGAUGGUCAAUAAAAUCAAACGAUUUUCUUAGGCUAGUCAAGUCAUACUUACACAACAAAUUGUCAAGAAAAAUUACCAACCAUCAUCAUAUAGACACUGUAUAUAAGCCUUCGGUGAAUAUUUACACUAAACUAGCCGAACAAUU